rnacentral:rRNA from 1 species
AACCGGGGGAACUGAAACAUCUAAGUACCCCGAGGAAAAGAAAUCAACCGAGAUUCCGAAAGUAGCGGCGAGCGAAAUUGGACUAGCCCUUAAGCUUUACACGCGUUAGACGAACGGUCUGGAAAGUCCGACGAUACAGGGUGAUAGUCCCGUAGUUGACGACGUGUGUUCAGUGAAAUCGAGUAGGGCGGGACACGUGAUAUCCUGUCUGAAUAUGGGGGGACCAUCCUCCAAGGCUAAAUACUACUGACUGACCGAUAGUGAACCAGUACCGUGAGGGAAAGGCGAAAAGAACCCCUGUGAGGGGAGUGAAAUAGAACCUGAAACCGUGUACGUACAAGCAGUAGGAGCAGGCUUUGUCCUGUGACUGCGUACCUUUUGUAUAAUGGGUCAGCGACUUAUAUUCAGUGGCAAGGUUAACCAUCUAGGGGAGCCGUAGGGAAACCGAGUCUUAACUGGGCGUUCAGUCUCUGGAUAUAGACCCGAAACCAGGUGAUCUAGCCAUGGGCAGGUUGAAGGUUGAGUAACAUCAACUGGAGGACCGAACCGACUAAUGUUGAAAAAUUAGCGGAUGACUUGUGGCUAGGGGUGAAAGGCCAAUCAAACCUGGAGAUAGCUGGUUCUCCCCGAAAGCUAUUUAGGUAGCGCCUCGGACGAAUACUACUGGGGGUAGAGCACUGUUAAGGCUAGGGGGUCAUCCCGACUUACCAACCCUUUGCAAACUCCGAAUACCAGUAAGUACUAUCCGGGAGACACACGGCGGGUGCUAACGUCCGUCGUGGAGAGGGAAACAACCCAGACCGCCAGCUAAGGUCCCAAAUUACUACUAAGUGGGAAACGAUGUGGGAAGGCUCAGACAGCCAGGAUGUUGGCUUAGAAGCAGCCAUCAUUUAAAGAAAGCGUAAUAGCUCACUGGUCGAGUCGGCCUGCGCGGAAGAUGUAACGGGGCUAAGUAGUAAACCGAAGCUGCGGCAAUGUGCUUUUGCACAUUGGGUAGGGGAGCGUUCUGUAAGCGGUUGAAGGUGUGUGGUAACGCAUGCUGGACGUAUCAGAAGUGCGAAUGCUGACAUGAGUAACGAUAAAGGGGGUGAAAAACCUCCUCGCCGGAAGACCAAGGGUUCCUGUCCAACGUUAAUCGGGGCAGGGUAAGUCGACCCCUAAGGCGAGGCCGAAAGGCGUAGUCGAUGGGAAACGGGUUAAUAUUCCCGUACUUCUUACAAUUGCGAUGGGGGGACGGAGAAGGCUAGGUGGGCCUGGCGACGGUUGUCCAGGUUCAAGUGCGUAGGCUUGAGAGUUAGGUAAAUCCGGCUCUUUUUAAGGCUGAGACACGACGUCGAGCCACUACGGUGGUGAAGUCAUUGAUGCCAUGCUUCCAGGAAAAGCCUCUAAGCUUCAGAUUGUAAGGAAUCGUACCCCAAACCGACACAGGUGGUCGGGUAGAGAAUACCAAGGCGCUUGAGAGAACUCGGGUGAAGGAACUAGGCAAAAUGGUACCGUAACUUCGGGAGAAGGUACGCUCUCGACGGUGAAGUCCCUCGCGGAUGGAGCUAUUGAGAGUCGCAGAUACCAGGUGGCUGCAACUGUUUAUUAAAAACACAGCACUGUGCAAAAUCGUAAGAUGACGUAUACGGUGUGACGCCUGCCCGGUGCCGGAAGGUUAAUUGAUGGGGUUAGACUUCGGUCGAAGCUCUUGAUCGAAGCCCCGGUAAACGGCGGCCGUAACUAUAACGGUCCUAAGGUAGCGAAAUUCCUUGUCGGGUAAGUUCCGACCUGCACGAAUGGCGUAAUGAUGGCCACGCUGUCUCCACCCGAGACUCAGUGAAAUUGAAAUCGCUGUGAAGAUGCAGUGUACCCGCGGCUAGACGGAAAGACCCCGUGAACCUUUACUACAGCUUGGCACUGAACAUUGACCCUACAUGUGUAGGAUAGGUGGGAGGCUUUGAAGCACGUACGCCAGUAUGUGUGGAGCCGUCCUUGAAAUACCACCCUUGUAGUGUUGAUGUUCUAACGUCGACCCCUUAUCGGGGUUGCGGACAGUGCCUGGUGGGUAGUUUGACUGGGGCGGUCUCCUCCCAAAGAGUAACGGAGGAGCACGAAGGUGGGCUAAUCACGGUUGGACAUCGUGAGGUUAGUGCAAUGGCAUAAGCCCGCUUGACUGCGAGAAUGACAAUUCGAGCAGGUGCGAAAGCAGGUCAUAGUGAUCCGGUGGUUCUGAAUGGAAGGGCCAUCGCUCAACGGAUAAAAGGUACUCCGGGGAUAACAGGCUGAUACCGCCCAAGAGUUCAUAUCGACGGCGGUGUUUGGCACCUCGAUGUCGGCUCAUCACAUCCUGGGGCUGAAGUCGGUCCCAAGGGUAUGGCUGUUCGCCAUUUAAAGUGGUACGCGAGCUGGGUUUAGAACGUCGUGAGACAGUUCGGUCCCUAUCUGCCGUGGGCGUUGGAAGAUUGAAGGGGGCUGCUCCUAGUACGAGAGGACCGGAGUGGACGAACCUCUGGUGUUCGGGUUGUGUCGCCAGACGCAUUGCCCGGUAGCUAAGUUCGGAAUCGAUAACCGCUGAAAGCAUCUAAGCGGGAAGCGAGCCCUGAGAUGAGUCUUCCCUGAUACUUUAAGUAUCCUAAAGGGUUGUCGGAGACUACGACGUUGAUAGGUCAGGUGUGUAAGUGCUGUGAGGCAUUGAGCUAACUGAUACUAAUUGCCCGUGAGGCUUAACCAUACAACACCCAAGGGGUUU